CUCUCUCUCUCUCCAUUCCCGCACUGCAGGGCUCCGCCGGACCGUCCCACGCGACUGCCGGCCUCCUCCCGACCAGACCGACGAUGGCGACGACCGGAUCUGACCGGCCCCGUCCGUUUCCGCCUCGCCUAGCCGCACCACUCAUCCGUCCCACCUCUCCCAGCCAGCCCCGCCGCCCCCUCCCUGCCGAGCCCCAUGGUGGUGGACGGUGACAUCUUACCUGGACUGGACUGGAGAGUUGCAUGCAAUCAGGCCUCCCUCCUCUCCACUAAGUGCAUCUGAUUCUGAACACAGAGUUCUUCACGGUAAUUGUCAAUUCUCUGACGCAAGCCAUUUGUGUGAGCCUGCUAAUUAACUUAUAUGGUAAGACUCUAUGGGAGGCUCCGACAAUAAAACUAUUUUAGAAGACACGGCAAUAUUUUACUAUAUGAAGUGAAAAUGUACAAGUUGUAGAUGGACAAUUAUGGUAGCUCUUCUAUACAGUUAUUUAGUGUCCAGCGAGGCCCUCAAGAGGAUAUCUAAAGAAGUGAGAAUGUACACCUUGUUUUUCUAGGCGAACAUGACUUGGAUGAGUCGAUAGCAUAGUAGCCGUAGUUAUCUAAAAAAGGCAGUGCCCCAGGCAACAAAGUAAAUUGUUCUGCUGUCCAAUGCAUUGAAGCUAUAAUGCAUAUAUGCUUAGUAAAUUGUUUAGAUUUAUCUGAGACUAAUAAUGACCAACUUAGUGAAUUGUUAAACCUGAAAGUUUGUGUUUUCCAAUUAACAUAGUGAAUUGUUUGCACAAUUCAGUUCCGUGUUGAUUGAAUGGACGUGACGUGAUGUUUUCUCCCGGGAACGGACUGAAGUGGAUUGACAUGGUUUCUGUCCAUCAUGCAGUUAUGUGCUAUUCUUCCUUGCUGCAGUGUUGCGCAUCUUUGCUGCUGUGGCUGACUCCAUGAAUAUGAAAGCUAUAUUUACUCCUAAGCUAUCAGUGUCCUCUAACUUCCUUCCAUGAGAGGUAUUUGCUCUCAGUCCCAGCCAUCCUUAUUACAAGGGAUGCAGCAAGGUUCAAUGGAUCAUGACGUUUUGGCUAGAUUUGAAUCUGUAUCUACCAAAUCUGUGCGUACAUUUUUUAUGCUAUAAAUUUCUUUUUCUUUCAGUAUCCUAUUGAAGUUCUAUCAGCCGACAGGUGCAUUGCACUGUUGAGGAGACACAUGCAUUUGUAUUCGAUAUUGAAGCGAGCCUGACACCCUCAAAGAACUAUACAAUGAUAUUUGGCCAUUGCUUUCAGUAUUAGAGAAGCAUAGAAACAGAACUGCAGGGCUUACUGUAUUUUUAUGUGACAUUCCUCUAUGCCAUCAUGCCAUACUGUUUAUUUUGAGCAACCUUUCUAUGGUAUUUUGUUGGACAGUUUUUAGUGUAAUCUCAAGCACCUCAAUAUAUGGUAAACAACUGCAUGCUUGGGUAUAUGUUUUAUUCUCAAUGAUGUAUUCCUUUUAUUUGCUCUGUUACUGUAGCAAUCAAAAAGAAUCGGGCACAAGCUCCAGUUAGUCCUGUACAAAAAUUGGUGUAGAAGUGUGGUCUAUGGAUUCCUUAUUUUGUCGAUUCAUACUUGGGAUUGUAGGGAAAAGUGUGGACUAUGGAUAAAUACCAGAACUGGAUUGACCAUGUCACAUCUUCACCAAGAGUCAUGGCACUGGCAUAUUCAAGCUUUGUUGUUUCCUUCGUUUCCAAGCAACACUCUUAAAGGCAAUAUAUGCAGGUUUAUCAUUCAUGUGAGAGAUGUGAAGGAUGAAACAAAAGUAAAAGGUGUUUAUGCUAACGGAGCAUCAUAAUUAUGCUAACAACCUCCAUGGAAGGGAAGGGCCCGGCAGGCUCGUGCAGGCGAGAGAAGCUGGGGGCGCUCGUCAAUUGGGCAGAUGGCGGCCAUCCAAGUUUCUUCACUCGAUCUGGGCAGGGUCAUGGCAGCGUACGCGAGGGGUGGAGGCGAGCGACCCUCUUGAGCCGCGCAUGUCGAGAGGUAGCGGCCGUGCCCCUCCUCCUUCCCUUCUCUUCUCCCCUUCUCCUCUCCAAUUUAGGAUGCCGUCCUCUGACAUCUUCCUCUUCCAGUUUUUUAAACCUAAUUUGAUUUCUCAAUUUCUGGUUGCUUGUGAAGAGUAGAAGAAUUUUGAUGAAGAAGAACAGUGUGAAUUCUCUCUCUCUCUCUCUUGAAUACAAUCAUGUUUGUUCCUGCAUUUUGAUGUUUGAUUUUUUCUGUGUAAUACAGCACAUGACAUGAUUUUAUACUCCUAUUAACUACUGACAAAAGCUAGAUUUGUAAAUGAAGGUCUCAAAAGUGUUUGUUUUUACCUUUCGUCAGACCAGUACAUGGUGUUGGUCAUGUAGAAGUUGUUGGUCAUGCCUCUGUAUAAGCUAGCUGUAAUAUUUUUCCACGGAAUAUGAUGAUUCAUGUUCAUCUUCUAUAUGGUUGUUUUCACCAUACUAAAGUACAUGGAAAUCUAGGCUUGCAGAUUAAUACAGCUUCAGAUGCUUUGUUUUGGGGAGGAGGUAGAAAUCAGUGGUUGUGCUUAAGCGUUUGUUCUUUAUUUACCUUUGAGGCAUAAAUUCAAAUGAUUAGUAUAUGCAUGGUAAUUUCUGUGCUUUUGAUAACCACUAGAGGACCGUGUGGCAACUAAUUUAUGCUUGAUUAUCUCCUCCUUUUUAUUCCUGACGUUUAGCUCUUGCCCUUGAUCAGUUCUUUUGAAAGGAGCUCUUCCUCGGCCUCCGCCUGGGCGCGACCUGCACUGUCAGUACGUAUGUUGUGGCCAUGCCAAAAAUAAACACUUAAUUAAAUUUCUGUUUUUAACUAACCCCUCUUCCGUUUCAGUCAUGUUCAAGUCUGAAUGCCUUUUCUCCUAUAUAUAUGUUACAUCAGGUGAUGACAUAAUUUAGUUAAUGGCAUUAUGGCAGGACUCAUGUUGUCAUUGGUUACAAUGGUGGCUCAUGAAGUUCAAAAAAUGUGUUCUUUACAGAUUUGAGAUGAUAGAAAUUCAGAAUAGGUAAGACAAUAAGCCGUGUUUAUUCUUUGAUGCUCUAGCUGUCACAUGCCGCAUAGUUUUUUGCGCCCCACAUACUAUUGGCUGCCUCUAUGUUGUUUUACUAGAUCCAUCUCCAUGAGCUUUGUUAUUUAUAGUGGAUCUGUUUAUUAUUUCCGGUCCAGCUUAGGGUAAGCAUUAUGAAUGACAUGCUGUUUUCAUCCUUUUGUUGUCAAUAAUUGAUGUGGGUAUGCUUUAGUUUUCUCUCUGCGGCCAACUUACUGUAGUUAGUGAAGAAAAAGAUAAAUGAAGGAAGUACAUGCUAUACUACUAUGUUGACUAGAUAAAAAUAUUAUGGAUGGAGUGUUUUAGUUGUGUUCAAACUUCAGGGGAGGAGUACAGCCAGCCAGGUUAGUGUGUACAUUGCUUUUCUAUUUUUGACGGGCUGAUGCGCAUGCAUUGUUUGUGCUUCCCUAAAAUGAGCUAAUUAAUUCACUUAAUUUGCCAUGUGAUUUGCAGCACUGCAAUAGAAGAAAAUGCAGAAAGAAUGAACAAGAAGCUAUAGAUGGAUAUGUCCAGGGUGGCAUGUGGAUGACCUGUGAAUUUGAUUCUCGCAUCUGACCCUGAUCGUGAAGGUGAAGCAAUUGUUUGGACCAUUAAAGCAAUGCUUGAACAGCAGGGUGGCAUUGGUUUGCCAUGUUUUACAAUCAUUUGCGUGUAGUACUCUGUUGACUCAGGUGCUUUGCUAUUAUAAUGUUAACAUUUACGGGUAUUAAUCUGUUGACUCACUUGGCUCACUAUGUGACUGCAAGUAGCCCAGAAGCUUUACGAAGGGCUCGGUCUUUUGUCGGAACAAGCAACGGGGUUAAUAACAUACCUCAAGUCAGAAUAUAUUGCUUUCAUGCAGAUGCCAUUCUACUUUUAGUUGAUUUCUAGAGUAGUUUCGUUGUUUAUAGAUGUAUCAUGUAGGUAGGGUAAAACAUCCUCUUGGUCUCUUUUGUAUGGUCUCUGGUUGUAGAUUAAAAUUGGUGCGUUCAUGCGAGAAAUAUCAAAUUGGUCCCCUCUAUAUACAAAUGAACUGUAGAGAAAGAUUCCACAUGGCACUAGCUUUAGGGAAGUAACACGCAAACAAAGGAGAGAGAUUACAGAGUAGGAUGAUGUUGUUUGUUCCUAUAUUCUCAACUGAACCAAGCAUCGUACGAAGAUAUCAUAUUCCAAAACUGAUUGAGAACCAAAAUGAGAGCUAAUUUUUAUAUCCUUUGCUUUCCAUGGUUUUCCUCUUUUGCACAUCAAAACGAGAAUAGACAUUAUUAAGUUGGUACCACAUCCAUGUCGCACAGCUGCGUCUACAUGUUACUCUGUUUUUUAUCAUCAGAUAGAAAUAAUAAUGUUUUAUUCUGCUACCAAAGGUCCGAGGCUACAACCCAAACUUCUUCCUCCAGGCUGGAUCAGGACCACACGGUCGAGGCGUGCAUAAACUCUUACUCAACCGUGUCGGUCGGGAAUAAGAUGGCAGAGGACCCAAGGUUGCUCAGCAGUGACUCUUCUUCGUUGCCGAGUUCUCAAGGCACUCUGCCUGGUCAUCAGAAUGGAGCUGCCGAACGUGGGGAGUAGACGUUGCACGACCAAUCCAGUGGAAUGUCCAGAAAGCCAUCAGGGGAGCAGCUCGCUGCUGAGGCUGGUGUGCGCUCUCAGUUCUCUACCCUGUCGUCUCGCUCCCUCUCGCACAACUAGGCACCGCAAAGGAGAGUAUGAUACCAGGAUCAACUUAGCUAGGCAAGGUAUGGAGAUGAGCUCAAACAUCAUCUGGAAGCAGGCUUCUUACUAAGGUUAAAGAACAUGAAGAAGAGAUUGCACUUUUAAGAAGACAGCUUGCUGACUAUUCGGUGAAGGUACCAUGCCAUGCAUACUGCAUACUGCAUACAAAAUAUUACAUUACCUUUUUACCCCCUUCCACAUCCUCGGUUUUCGCUUUUCGAUAUGCAUCCACAAAAUCUAACUGGACUGUCUUGGUCUGAUGUCUGGUGUUUCGAAGCCAAAUACUUAAUGAGAAACAUGUUUUGGAAAAGCGCAUUGCAUAUAUAUGUGAAUGGCAUUUGAUCGGCAGCAACAAGAUUUGGUUGAUGCUGCAUCAAAAGUUUGAGCCUAUAGACAAGACAUCAUCGAAGAGAACAUCGGGCUGACAUAUGCGUUGCAGUGCGUCCGGAACCACCAAACACGCCCACCAUGAAGAGUUGGUUAGAUCACGAGAAAGGGGGAGGAGUGAAAAACAAACUGAGGCGGGCGGAGGUAAGUGGCGGCGCAGUCCCCCCGUGGCUUCUUCGUGGUGAGGGCUCAAGGAUUGAGGAGGAGAAGAGGAGGUGGCAGAUUGGAGAAGAGGAGGAGGCGGAUUGGGGAGGAGGAGAAGAGGAGGCGGGGAUCGGGAGAAGAGGAGGCAGGGGAUUGGGAAGGGGGCUCUUGUUUAAUAUACUGUUUUGCGCAGGUUGAGAUGCAUGACAUGAUGUUUUCCUUUUACAUUUAUGAGUAUUACAGAGUCCUUUCUUUUUCCACAAGGGGCAGUAGCUGUGCCAUUUGAUUUGAAGGACAAAGAGUUGAUCACAAAGGGGUAACAUUCAGGAUAUAUACACAAAAGAGUAUAGAACCAAAUUAUAUGA